rnacentral:misc_RNA from 1 species
GAUGAAGAACGUAGUGAAAUGCGAUACGUAAUGUGAAUUGCAAAUUCAGUGAAUCAUCGAGUCUUUGAACGCACAUUGCGCCCCCUGGUAUUCCGGGGGGCAUGCCUGUCCGAGCGUCAUUGCUGCCCUCAAGCACGGCUUGUGUGUUGGGCCCCGUCCUCCGAUCCCGGGGGACGGGCCCGAAAGGCAGCGGCGGCACCGCGUCCGGUCCUCGAGCGUAUGGGGCUUUGUCACCCGCUCUGUAGGCCCGGCCGGCGCUUGCCGAUCAACCCAAAUUUUUUGUCCAGGUUGACCUCGGAUCAGGUAGGGAUACCCGCUGAACUUAAGCAUAUCAAUAAGCGGAGGA